UACGAAGGGGCUAGCGUUGCUCGGAAUCACUGGGCGUAAAGCGCACGUAGGCGGAUUGUUAAGUCAGGGGUGAAAUCCUGGAGCUCAACUCCAGAACUGCCUUUGAUACUGGCGAUCUCGAGUCCGGGAGAGGUGAGUGGAACUGCGAGUGUAGAGGUGAAAUUCGUAGAUAUUCGCAAGAACACCAGUGGCGAAGGCGGCUCACUGGCCCGAUACUGACGCUGAGGCACGAAAGCGUGGGGAGCAAACAGGG
rnacentral:rRNA from 1 species